rnacentral:rRNA from 1 species
UACGUAGGGCGCAAGCGUUAUCCGGAAUUAUUGGGCGUAAAGAGCUCGUAGGCGGUUUGUCGCGUCUGCCGUGAAAAUCCGGGGCUCAACCCCGGACUUGCGGUGGGUACGGGCAGACUAGAGUGUGGUAGGGGAGACUGGAAUUCCUGGUGUAGCGGUGAAAUGCGCAGAUAUCAGGAGGAACACCGGUGGCGAAGGCGGGUCUCUGGGCCGAUACUGACGCUGAGGAGCGAAAGCAUGGGUAGCGAACAGG